GAGCUCGGCUCGACUCUCCCACCCUUUGUGAACGUACCUCUGUUGCUUUGGCGGCUCCGGCCGCCAAAGGACCUUCAAACUCCAGUCAGUAAACGCAGACGUCUGAUAAACAAGUUAAUAAACUAAAACUUUCAACAACGGAUCUCUUGGUUCUGGCAUCGAUUGAAGAACGCAGCGAAAUGCGAUAAGUAAUGUGAAUUGCAGAAUUCAGUGAAUCAUCGAAUCUUUGAACGCACAUUGCGCCCCUUGGUAUUCCGGGGGGCAUGCCUGUUCGAGCGUCAUUACAACCCUCAAGCUCUGCUUGGAAUUGGGCACCGUCCUCACUGCGGACGCGCCUCAAAGACCUCGGCGGUGGCUGUUCAGCCCUCAAGCGUAGUAGAAUACACCUCGCUUUGGAGCGGUUGGCGUCGCCAAAGCGCCGGACGAACCUUCUGAACUUUUCUCAAGGUUGACCUCGGAUCAGGUAGGGAUACCCGCUGAACUUAAGCAUAUCAA
rnacentral:rRNA from 1 species